GAGUUUGAUCUUGGCUCAGAACGAACGCUGGCGGCAUGCCUAACACAUGCAAGUCGAACGGGAUCCUGGUUUCGGCCAGGUGAGAGUGGCGGACGGGUGAGUAACGCGUGGGAACCUGCCCAGUGGUGGGGGAUAACUGCGGGAAACUGCAGCUAAUACCGCAUGAGCCCGAAAGGGGAAAGAUUCAUCGCCAUUGGAGGGGCCCGCGUUCGAUUAGGUAGUUGGUGGGGUAAUGGCCUACCAAGCCUGCGAUCGAUAGCUGGUCUGAGAGGAUGAUCAGCCACACUGGGACUGAGAUACGGCCCAGACUCCUACGGGAGGCAGCAGUGGGGAAUAUUGGACAAUGGGGGCAACCCUGAUCCAGCAAUGCCGCGUGAGUGAUGAAGGCC
rnacentral:rRNA from 1 species